rfam:Schistosoma mattheei strain Denwood, Zambia genome assembly, scaffold: SMTD_scaffold0006715
AUCCAGUUGACGAAUCCCAGGUAGGAUGAAACGCGCGUCCUGGAU